rnacentral:rRNA from 1 species
UACAGAGGGUGCGCGCGUUACUCGGAAUUACUGGGCGUAAAGCGCACGUAGGCGGCUUGGUAUGUCGGGUGUGAAAUCCCCGGGCUCAACCUGGGAACUGCAUCCGAAACUGCCUUGCUCGAGUAUGGGAGAGGGAAGUGGAAUUUCCGGUGUAGCGGUGAAAUGCGUAGAUAUCUGGAGGAAUACCGGUGGCGAAGGCGGCAUCCUGGACCGGCAUUGACGCUGAGGAGCGAAAGCCAGGGGAGCAAACGGG